rnacentral:rRNA from 1 species
UUUUUCCUUCCUCAAACUAUAUUUAUUAGAUAUUUCCAAAUAAAACAUUUACCUCAAUCAACCCGCGCACUACCCUCAUAAAUAAAUACCGCAAGGGACAUGAAUAAAAUAAAACCAGUCAAGCUUACCCCUUGUACCUUUUGCAUCAUGGCUCAGCAAGUAAAACCACAAAUUCACCACCCCGAAAUCGAAGCGAGCUAACCCACUCUUGUUUGGAACCCACAGAAUUUUGUAUCAAAAAAAUCCGAAAAGAUUUAGUUAGAGGCUACAUACCUACCGCGCUCGAUAAUAGCUGGUUGCUCUAUAAAUUAAUAAAAGUUAUACUUUCUACACAGAACAGUCAAAUUUUUUAGGAUAAGCUAAAAAAUUAAUAUCUAUGAAAUAUAAAAAUCACCUCCAAAAAAAGGCCUAACAUCAGCCCUUUUUACUCAAUGUUAUAAUGCAAGACUAAAUAAAAUUAUAAUACUAAUUAUUCAUGCUACCUUUAUAGACACAUGUGCCAAAACAAAAUUUAGGCUAAAAUAUACUGCUGAGAUUAGUAUUACUCUACAUUUCCCCCAUAGUUUAUAAUAUAUGGUUUAAAGGAACUCUGCAAAACCCUCAUCCGACUGUUUAACAAAAACAUUGCCUUUGGCUAAAUUAAUCAAAGGUAUAUCCUGCCCAGUGACAAUUAAACGGCCGCGGUACCCUAACCGUGCAAAGGUAGCAUAAUCACUUGCCUCUUAAUUAGAGGCUAGAAUGAACGGAUCAACGAGAUGCAACCUGUCUCUAACCCAUACCUAAAAAUUAGAUUUCAGGUGAAGAUACCUGAAUACCAUUAAAAGACAAGAAGACCCUAUAGAGUUUAAUCUUUCCGUGGUCUUCCAUAUGAAAGCUUUAGUUGGGGCGACUAAGGAAAAAACAAAUCUUCCUUUAAUCACACGACUUUUAGUCCACCCAUUGACCCCGCUACGCGGAGUAACAGAAUUAACUACCUUAGGGAUAACAGGCUUAUCUUCCUAAAGAGUCCAAAUCGAAAGGAAGGUUUGGCACCUCGAUGUUGGCUUAGAGUAUCCUAAUGGAGCAGAUCCCAUUAAAGGUUAGUUUGUUCAACUAUUAAAACUCUACAUGAGCUGAGUUCAGACCGGCGUGAGCCAGGUUAGUUUCUAUCUUUAACAAAAAAAAUCAUCUAAUAGUACGAAAGGACCUUAGAUAGAAGAACCUUUCUAUUUCCACGAAGUCCUAUAAACUCACGUUCAUCCAUCUAUACAACCU